GAUGAACGCUGGCGGCGUGCCUAAUACAUGCAAGUCGAGCGAACGGACGAGACGCUUGCUUCUCUGAUGUUAGCGGCGGACGGGUGAGUAACACGUUGAUACCCUACCUAUCAGACUGGGAUAACUUCGGGACACCGGAGCUAAUACCGUAUGAUAUUUUGAACCGCAUGGUUCAAAAGUGAUAGACGGUCUUGCUGUCACUUAUCGCUGGAUCCGCGCUGCAUUAGCUAGUUGGUAAGAUAACGGCUUACCACGGCAACGAUGCAUAGCCGACCUGAGAGGGGGAUCGCCCACACGGGAACUGAGACACGGUCCAGACUCCUACGGGAGGAAGCAGUAGGGAAUCUUCGGCAAUGGGCGAAAGCCGGACGGAGCAACGCCGCGUGAGGGAUGAAGGUCUUCGGAUCGUAAAACUCGGUUAUUAGGGAAGAACAUAGGUGUAAGUAACUGUGCACAUCUUGACGGUACCUAAUCAGAAAGCCACGGCUAACUACGUG
rnacentral:rRNA from 1 species